UGGGCACGGCACAGGUACCGUGCCUUCUUACGACGACCCCAGCGACGCACUGAUAUGGGCCAGAAAAAUAACAAAGCCCAUUCACCCAGUCAUCCAGCCCGAUCUACCAAGCCGUUCUAGCGCCAAAAUACGCCGCUCCAUCGUCUUCUGGCGCCAAAACACAGAACAGAGCAUCCUGAGCGCGCUAAGGCGGCCGAUGCGGCGGAGCUUGCACUCCUCCCUCACGAAGCGUCGCGAGCACGUGCCGGCAGGUCAGUCGGAACGAUUUGGUGAUUCUUCCUUUGGGGCCGUCACAUACCCUUGAUUGAUCGACCUCUUCUCUGAGCGCUCCGCCGGCCAGGCUGUGCUCCUACUUCGUCAUUCAUACCAGCCAAGGAAUUCCACCAGCCAAACCCUCCACACACUGUGAAAAGGUAAUCCAAAAAUCAGGUUGACCACAUGCAUAGAUCAUACUGUUAGUAACUAGAUCCACUUCUCAUUGAUUCUCAGUGUUAUAUGUAUUUCUUUUUGUAGCCUGCAAUAUUUGUUGGCCUCUGCCAUUCUUCAUUGCUCAUCAGAUGGAAAACCAGACCAGUACAAAUUCAAACAAAAUUGGUGAAGAGGACAA
rnacentral:lncRNA from 1 species